UUCCAAGGGCAAAAAAUAAGAAAAAAAAAAAAAAACAAAAGAAAUAUUUCCCCCAAUUCUCUCGUACACUACCUGAUACUUCUCCAUUUCAAUACACUAAGAGCUACUUCCCCCAAUUCUCCAUUUUCUCCAUUUCCCCCAAUUCUCCAUUUUCAAAAACUUCAAAUUCUCAAUUUUCCCCAAAUCUCCAUUUUUUAUUUCUGAAAUUACUCAAGAGGUGGCGAAGUAAUUGAAAUUACUCAAGAGGAAAACUAAUUGAAAUUGAGAGGUGGCGAAGUAGACGAAGGCGGAACUCAAGAGGUGGCGAACUUCAGGUGACGUCUGGUUGCUCAAGAGGCGGCGAAAAUCUCCAUUUUCAUCUUGCAUGUGGCUGAUAUCUCGAAAUUGAGUUCAAGCCCCUUCAAGAUGAAACCGAGUGGACCCAAAGUUCCUACUUCCCAAAGUCAGCUUACUGAAUAUGAGUUGCAAAAAAUGUUCCUACUUCCCAAAGUUCCUUUCUUCUAGUUCAUUUGAUUUUCUACUUUUUUUUUCUUACAAAAAAAUGUUGAGUUGACUCUCGGUGUUGAUCCCUAAAACUUCCUUCUAUUGGUGUCCUGUUUUCUCCUCCAAUGUAGGUCUGACCCUAUUCUUGAUGAGUGCAUGGCGAGCAAAAUGGAGAUGAAGUAGAGUGACUAAACUACUAGUCAUCUGACACAAAUGGUGCAAAUAUGUUGGCGACUUCUAUUCUAUUAAGUUCAAGUUUGUGAAGAUUUAGAAAAUCCGGCUACAUAUAUAUUGGAAUUUGUAUUUUGGACAAUUGAAUCAAUUAUAUAACUUUAGUUUGUUAGUAGGGUGUAAUACUAUACCGAAAACAAGCAAGUAAUAUUUUUGUAAUGUCGUACGUAUUU